rnacentral:rRNA from 1 species
GAGUUUGAUCCUGGCUCAGGACGAACGCUGGCGGCGCGCCUAACACAUGCAAGUCGAACGAGCGAGAGAGAGCUUGCUUUCUCGAGCGAGUGGCGAACGGGUGAGUAACGCGUGAGGAACCUGCCCUGGAGUGGGGGACAACAGUUGGAAACGACUGCUAAUACCGCAUAAGCCCACGACCCGGCAUCGGGUUGAGGGAAAAGGAGCAAUCCGCUUUGAGAUGGCCUCGCGUCCGAUUAGCUGGUUGGUGAGGUAACGGCCCACCAAGGCAACGAUCGGUAGCCGGACUGAGAGGUUGAACAGCCACAUUGGGACUGAGACACGGCCCAGACUCCUACGGGAGGCAGCAGUGGGGAAUAUUGCACAAUGGGGGAAACCCUGAUGCAGCGACGCCGCGUGGAGGAAGAAGGUCUUCGGAUUGUAAACUCCUGUUGUUGAGGAAGAUAAUGACGGUACUCAACAAGGAAGUGACGGCUAACUACGUGCCAGCCGCCGCGGUAAUUC